CAGGUGCUGGCCUGGCCAGCACCCCAGGGGCAGCUGCUUGCUGCACCUGUGACGUCAGGGCAGAGAGGAAGUGGCUAUUUCUACGCUCAGUGCCCAGAUCCGUGAGCACUAAGAAUGGUUUGUAGCCUGACAGUC